CAGGGCGAUUCGGAGUGGCGGAGACAGAAAGCCCGUUUUAUCACACCCUCUUUUAAAGAAGAUCGAUUCUUCUAAAGCUUAUGCAAAAAAAAAAAAAAAAAAAAGAAGAAGAAGAAGAAGAAAGAAAGAACCAACAAUUCUGUUUCUAAGAUUUUAAAGCGAUAGGCCAGUCGGAGACGCCGAGAUUUAUUUGAGGGAAAGCAAGAGUGCGCGAAGCGGACCCAGCGUUUGGAAGACCAGCCCGCUUGCUUGGAUGUUGGACUGUUGAUUCCUCCAAUUAAUGAAAUGCGCUUGGUGUUAAUCAUAUUUAUUUUAUGGAAGGGGGAGACGCUAGGAGGGUGUAUUUAAAAAAAAAAAUCUUAAAAGCCUGCAAAACGAUCGAAGAGUGAAAACUAUUGUUGGAACGAGUUGGUUUUUACCUCAACAGCGCCACCUUUCGGCAAAGGUCAGUUGAAAUUGAUCCGUGUCCAGUUUUGUUGAUGAAAUGAAAAGAAGCUGCUUUCCUAAGGUGGGAGGAGGAGAGAGGCACAAAGUUAGAGAACCGCCCUUGUUAGAAGAAGGGCUGAAAGCAGUGCUGGCAGGUGCGAGAAUCAUUCUUUUUCUCUUUCUCUGUCCCCCUUGUUUGUGGAUAAAGAAGCCAGAGGACACAGGAGCCUUCUGAGUGUAAUUCUGGCCGAGAGACUUUUUGCAAGAGGAUCCCGUGUAACAAGCAAAGCCCGAUACCCUUUAAAAAUGCCAGGAUGGAUUUUCAGCGGGCUUUAUGGCAAUAUCAAUAGAAUGAAAGUUACUUGUAAUUCAGUGAUAAAUGAGAUGUCUCUAGUAAGUAAGAUUAAGUGCAGUGCUAUAAAGUUGUUUAUCUGAAAAGUAAUUCUCAGAAAACCUGACUUCUGACACUUAGUCAUAUAUUAAGCCAGCUUCUUGAACAUUGCACUUCAGAAUCCUCUCACCCACCCAACAGCAUAACUUUACUAUUUAUAACGAGACCUUAGGUGUCACUCAUUGGCUCCUUAGACCAGAGUCGUCUUGUGUUAAUUUCUCCCAUGCUGGCAGCCUUGGGUUUUCUGCAACCCUGGGAAUCCCUAACAAGAGACUCCCCAAAAGGUUUACCCUAAAAGGCCAGCACUGUUGGUACUUUCCAGAAAAGCACUUUUUCCUUUCAUCAUUACUGCAGAGAAGCUGUUUAUAGGAGUAGUUUUGGUUUUAUGGGAGUACUUUGUUGGGAUGGAAUGAGGUAUGCUGUUACCAGUUUGGGGAAGAAAGAGUGAAGAUUAUGUCAAUAUUUAUGCAACCUAACAGAAUUCCUUUGCUUUCCUCCCCUCAAACGGUAUUUUACCUAGUAAUGAAGUUAAGGGAUUAUAGCCUAUGUAUUCAGAGGGAAAUUUAACUGAUUCAGUUACACAAACAUAUUAUGUCAUUUAACAGUGUCCAUAGCAAUAAUUUUUCUAAGGCUUGUAAAAAAAAAUCAUUAGCCACAAAUGUCUGAAGCUGAUAUUUUUCAUGUAAAAUAUGAAUUUCAGUAUAUUUAGGAAAAAAUCUUUUCUUGUUUAUAAGAAUUUUUUAUCCUUUUGCAUCAGUUUUGGUACAAGCUGUGAGAUAUGUUCCCUGCCUCUCAUGAAAGUAUUUUUUUUUCAGUCAGGAACACUGAAACAUUCAUAAAUAAACAACAUUUAUAAACAAAGUUCACUAAUGAUGAAGACCAUGGGAUACAGAUUCAUGGCCAUGCACCUAAUUGUUGCAAUUAUGUAUCAUUUCUAGAAAUUAAAAUGCCCAUGUUUGGCCAGCUAAACGUAUUAUUAUCUGCACAUUUUUCUGGUUUAUUUUUGUACACUGCUGUCAAGCCAGGGUAUUUUUCUUUCUCUUAUUGCAGAGUCUUCUAUAGUCUCCUAUUUUCUUUUGGGGAAAAAAAAAAAAUCCAAAUCUUUUUUGUUUUGUUUUGACAUGGAGCAGUGGUCCUCUCAGGCUUAUAACUUAAUUCUCAUUUUUGUCCUUUUUACUUUAUUAUUUAGUGAUUCACAGGGGUGUCUAAACAUUUACAGUUCUCUGUUAGCAGCGUUUCUCUUGUAACAAUGGAGCUCUCUCAUUUUAAUUAGUACUAUUCAGGUUUUUGAGUCUCUACAAUUACAGCAGGCCACAUUGCUCUAAAUUUCUUUGCUAACAUUGUUUGUUUCACUUCUAUCCAAGCCAAUCUAAUCCAAAUACAAUAUGAACUGUGUUUUCUUACUGCUUAAUAUCCCCUUGCUAUAUAUACUCUAGUAAUCUCUGUAGAACAAUAUAGAGUAAUUUAGAAAC